GUAGAGAGUGCCCAGCCUGCGACAAAAUUAUGAUCACUGAUUAUUUCAGAAUGAAGGGCAUAUGUGAAAUUUCAGUAUCAAACAACACAAAACCAUCCGUGCUGUGCACAAGCAUUACCUAUGACUCUAUUCAUGAAGUUGUUUGGGGCUGAAUUUGGCUGAGCCUGCACCCAGACAGCCAUAGAUUUGGCUACAAGCUCCGUGUGUGGAAACUGCACAGAGAAUGUGUGUGGUGCUGUGCAGGUAGGGAGCUGAGCAGGUAAAGGUCUGUGAAGGGGGGGAGCUGUGCAGGCAUAGUGCUGUGCAGUAUGGAGUUCUGUAGGCAUAGAGCUGUGCAGGUAGGAUGCCAUGCAGGCAGACUGAGUGCUGCAGUAGCUCCUUGAUGUUCAUUUCCAAAAUUGAUGUUUUCUUGGUUUUCUUUCUGUGCUGGAAAAUUAUCAGUUUUGUCAAGCAAAUCGUAUGGAUGCCAGAUGAUUACAUAUUAUGAAGUAAUUGUGCAACUUGUAGUGUAAAACCAAUUCAUUUAGAUCAUAGUUCAAACAUUCUAGAACUGCCUGACAAUCUGGGUUUGCUCAGAUCCAUACUUUGCUGUGGGAUUUGAACUUCAUGAAAGAUUUGUAACCAGAGCAGUGUGGAGAGACUACUUACCUGACAGGGAGAUGCAGUAAGAAGCUCAGGACAUGCAAAUAUUUUGGAAGGAAAAGGGAUGUAACAGAAAGGUUACGUACAAUACAGCACAACAACUCCAAAUGUUACUGUCUACAAGCAGGCUGGUAUGCUCCCUGAGGUUCAUAUUCAUUUUUCUACUUUCCAUUCUGCUGCUUCUACUUAUAAAUGAACAUACUGUAACAAAGGUACAGCAACAGAGAUAAUAUUUUGGUUUCAGAGCUCUUGUGUGCAACAGAGCAUCUUGUUUGCCAUACCAGAAGAACUGGGAUCCUAGAAAUUUUAUGAACAAAUUUUUCCCAUUCUGAUUUUGACCACUGCUGAAUGCAAAAGUUCUCUCUUGCACCAGUGGAAAUAAAAUAACCCAAAUCUCUUCCCCA
rnacentral:lncRNA from 1 species